CGUGUAUAUCCCCAGAGCAGACUGCAAACAUGUUUUUAGAAGUACACAAGAAGACAUCUAUUUCAUAGGUCAAACCAAAGGAAUCUGGCUUUUAUUGUUAAAGGACUCGAGGGAACACAUGUAUUGCUGUCGGCUUCUCUCCACACCCACUCUGUGAGAUGACUACAGGAUCAUUUUAAUCAAGAAUGAAGACUACAUAAUUCAAGCAACAGGGUCAAAAGUCUGAUGUCUGCAGGGAAAGUGCAUUGGUUUAACUUCAGUCAGAUUUUAAAUCUUGGCUUUAAGGCUUGGCUAAAUAAUUAGGUCAAACCAGUGCAACGUUCCCGUGUAACUAAGGCCUUAAAAAAGGAUUUUAAAGAUAAAUAUCUCAGUUAAUUACUUAAGCUACAGUCUGAAACCUAUUGAAGUCAAUGAGACAGGAGAGCAAGCAGCCAACAAGAUACACUCUGAAGUGUCUUUCUGAAUCAGUAGCUUCAUUCUGCUCUAAGGAACAAACCUCCAUUUCAGCGAAAGUCAUCUUAGGAUCAUGGUGCUUUCUUAGAUCUCUGUCAGCCACAAAGCCUACAAGAGAGAGGACAGUGCUAAGGCCUCGCUGCAGGAGAGUGUUGCAGGAAGCUGGAGAGAGCAGAUUCUCAGCUAUACAUUCCAUUACAAAGUCUGACUUAAUUCAUGGAUCAGGAAUGGAAGACCAACUCCCUUGCCUUCAAACCAUGAGGAGUUUGAGAAAGUAGAGUCAACUUCUCACUGUACCAAACUAAAAGAACAGACACAAAUGAAAAACUUCAAUAGUGCAACAAGCUCUGCUCAAAGAAGCUCACCCAGCAGCCCGUUCAAUGCUUUGGCUUUUGUUAAAAGGGAGGUUCUUCAGAGCAAGAGGUUCCAUUACAUGUCUACAUGUUGAGGAGAAGACCCUGGCCAGUGGCCGGCCACCCAUUCAGCCACUCCCUCACUCCCCUUCCUCAUGGGGGCAUGCAGGGGCAGAAAAAUGAUGAAAAAGCUUGUGGACAGAGAUAAAGACAGGGAAAUUACUUACUAAUUACUGUCAAGCAAUUACUUACCAAUUUGUCACUUGGAGAAAAUUAAUUUUUUGCCAAUUGAAAGAGCUUUGGUUUUUUUGAGAAACAAAAUCAAAAACUGAAGGCACGUCUUACCCCCACAUCCUUUCCCACUUCAUUCCUGAUUCCUCUUUCAGUGAAUGGGAGGUGUGACGGGUCCACAACAGUUCCUCUCCACCUCUCCUUUCUCCUCACACUGUUCUCUUGCUCCACCAUGGGCCUCUUCAAUGGGCUGCAGAUUCAUGCUCUGUCUUGGAGGACCUCAUUACUCUCCUCUUUCUCUGAACUUGGCCUUCACCCCAUUACUUCAUCCUUUUUUUCCCCUUCCUCUGCCUGCCUAGUGCUUUUGCCCAUUCUUUAAUACAUCUUCCCUGAGACACCAGCAAAAAGCCACGUGGGCUCCUGGAGCUUGGCAGCGUCUGCUAGGAUGGCCACUGGUCCAUCACUGGUCAACAAUGAGUGUUGCGCCAUCACUUGUUGUAUGCUUCUGGUUCUAAUGCAAGGGAGCAGAUUUAUAUAUAACGUCACUAUUUCCAACCUCAGAUAUUCAGCAAAUGUAUUUUUUUCCCCAAAUACUUUUCAAUGGCAAAUAUAGAUACCUUUUCGUUUGUAUUUUGACCUCCAAGCCUUGAAUCUUUCUCCAAACACAUAGUCAAGAAACUCAUUUUUCAAAAGUCCUAAGAGUUGAGUUUCUUAUGAGAGUCUGGUCCACUUCAAGGAGAGAAACCUCAGUUUAUGAAAAAUAAUAUUACAACUGUUGUGCUGGCUGAUGUCCUCUACUUUUACAAGAGAACAAUAGAAAAUCAAUUACACUGACAAACCCCCCUUGUGGGGUGAAACUGUGUAGGCUUUCCCAACAGACAUAACAGAUGUUUCUUGAAGAGUGAUUUCUGAAGGUAAGGAAAUAAGGCAUCUUUUCAUGAAUAUUAUAUCUUCAUUUCUGCAGCUACAUAUUGUAAUCCUUCUGCAUUUCCAAGAGUGGUAGGCUUUAUCACAGAGACAAUUGCUUUGUGUUGGACUAAAACCACAGCUUUUUUGCUUAUGGAGUACCAAGCAAUGUGUAGAUGGUGACACUCACCAAAAAUCUCAGCAAACUGACAUUGCAUCAGGUGAAAAACAUUUGUCCUGCUCCUUUCCCCCACCAUGCCACCCUUCUCUGUCUCAUAUUUGUACAUCAAGAAAAAGAUACAGUAUUUGGUAUUUAAAACUUACUUUUGUAGAAGGUUGUAGCAGCACACAUUUUUAGAGAAGUAUUCUGCCAGGUCAGGGGAGGAUUUAUUUUCUGAAUGCCUAAUGCAUAUUUAAAAGCUGAUAAUAGUACAUGACAGCACCAAAAAUGUUAUAUAACUUCUAGAAUGUCUAUUAAAAAAGUAGAGCCUUGCCAUUAAAAAAAAAAGUAGAAGCCUGUGAGAUUCCCACCAUCUGGAUGGAGUCUUUUUUCUUCCCAGAUGAAUUAGUUGUCAAGGGAGGAAUUAUUUUAGGCAUCAAGUAACCCCUGAUUGUGAGUGACAGACUAACACAAGAGCAGAUGCAAGGUUACUGCUGCCUAUCCAUUAUGUGGAAAGGAGACCCAUGCAUGUCCUACUUACUGUGCAUACUGACUUGGGUUAUUAAAAGAGUAACUAGAGGUGGGUCAGACCCAGAAGAUAGCUCAUACGACUCACAACAGAUGUUCUUUCACAGGAGAGAAAACAAACACUGGAUACUUUCUGGGGAUACUGUAGAAGGAGGGGACUUCACUACUUUCAACAAGUCACAAGUACAGAUUCCCAACAGAGGCACAAACCAACUUUUUCAUUCAAAUAACAGUUAUUUGGUAAGCUUUCUUAGAGCCUGAAGUACGCAGAAAUCAUGCUUUGGGAUAACAAACUUACUUGCAAAUCUCCCAUGCAUAACAGUGUCAUGAUAAAUUCAUAUAAAUAGAAUGACUGGUAACAUUUUGAAUGUAAACUAAUAAAUCAUUUUUUAUCAUCUCCUAUUUCAGCUAAUGGAAGUCUUUUUAUUUACAUAAAUAUGGAUAUCUGUAAAUCCCUCUGUUCUUGUAGGCACCA
rnacentral:lncRNA from 1 species